GGAGGGUGCAAGCGUUAUCCGGAUUUACUGGGUUUAAAGGGUGCAUAGGUGGGUCUGUAAGUCAGUGGUGAAAUCUCCGGGCUUAACCCGGAAACUGCCAUUGAUACUAUAGACCUUGAAUAUCCUGGAGGUGAGCGGAAUAUGUCAUGUAGCGGUGAAAUGCUUAGAUAUGACAUAGAACACCAAUUGCGAAGGCAGCUCACUACGGGAUUAUUGACACUGAGGCACGAAAGCGUGGGGAUCAAACAGGAUUAGAUACCCUGGUAGUCCACGCCCUAAACGAUGGAUACUCGACAUCAGCGAUACACUGUUGGUGUCUGAGCGAAAGCAUUAAGUAUCCCACCUGGGAAGUACGAUCGCAAGAUUG
rnacentral:rRNA from 1 species